rnacentral:rRNA from 1 species
GACGAACGCUGGCGGCGUGCCUAAUACAUGCAAGUUGAACGCUAAGGCUUUAACUGGUGCUUGCACCGACCUAAGUUUUUAGAGUAGCGGACGGGUGAGUAACACGUGGGUAACCUGCCCAUCAGAGGGGGAUAACACUUGGAAACAGGUGCUAAUACCGCAUAAUUCCUUUUACCGCAUGUAAAAGGCUGAAAGGCGCUUCUGGUGUCACUGAUGGAUGGACCCGCGGUGCAUUAGCUAGUCGGUGGGGUAACGGCCUACCGAGGCGAUGAUGCAUAGCCGACCUGAGAGGGUGAUCGGCCACAUUGGGACUGAGACACGGCCCAAACUCCUACGGGAGGCAGCAGUAGGGAAUCUUCGGCAAUGGACGAAAGUCUGACCGAGCAACGCCGCGUGAGUGAAGAAGGUUUUCGGAUCGUAAAACUCUGUUGUUGGAGAAGAACGUAUUUGAUAGUAACUGAUCAGGUAGUGACGGUAUCCAACCAGAAAGCCACGGCUAACUACGUGCCAGCCGCCGCGGUAAAAC